GCUGGGCAUGGAGGCACAUGCCUGUAAUCCAAGUGGCUCUGGAGACUGAGGCAGGAGGAUCGCAAUUUCAAAGCCAGCCUCAGCAAUUUAGUGAGGUGCUAAGCAACUCAGUGAGACCCUGUCUCUA
rnacentral:sRNA from 1 species